rnacentral:rRNA from 1 species
UUUGUUGUCCGACUCUGUUGCCUCCGGGGCGACCCUGCCUUCGGGCGGGGGCUCCGGGUGGACACUUCAAACUCUUGCGUAACUUUGCAGUCUGAGUAAACUUAAUUAAUAAAUUAAAACUUUUAACAACGGAUCUCUUGGUUCUGGCAUCGAUGAAGAACGCAGCGAAAUGCGAUAAGUAAUGUGAAUUGCAGAAUUCAGUGAAUCAUCGAAUCUUUGAACGCACAUUGCGCCCCCUGGUAUUCCGGGGGGCAUGCCUGUUCGAGCGUCAUUUCACCACUCAAGCCUCGCUUGGUAUUGGGCAACGCGGUCCGCCGCGUGCCUCAAAUCGACCGGCUGGGUCUUCUGUCCCCUAAGCGUUGUGGAAACUAUUCGCUAAAGGGUGCUCGGGAGGCUACGCCGUAAAACAAACCCAUUUCUAAGGUUGACCUCGGAUCAGGUAGGGAUACCCGCUGAACUUAAGCAUAUC